AAAUUCGUGGACUAGGGUUAUGGAGAGAAUAUUUGCUAAAAUUAGAAAGAAUUAACAUGUCUUCUUUUCAUUCUAACUCAAAAACCUCUCUCUUAUCUCCAUACUCUCUCGUCUUCUUCGUAUCAUUUUCUUCUCCGCCGCUAUCAACAACAAUCACCCUGAAUCAUGCUCACACUCAGAAUCGACCAAGACCCACAUGCAAUCUCGCACCGUUUUUGUUGGGUUCUGCAGAUUCGGUGAAUAAAUCAAAAUAGAAGAUUCAAUCGCGGCUGAUGAUUCCGUCGACGAGCUCGAUAGCUACAUGUUCCAAACGGUUUGACUCUUUUCCAACUUGAUCCUCUUGAUCUUUAUUGGGGCUUUUGUCAUGAUCGCAUUUUCUUGUUAUUUUCUUUGGUAAUUUUUUUUAAUGAUUUAGUUUAUUAUUUAGGGAUUUUGAUUGUUUGAGUUAAAAAAACAGAUAUGUGGUACAUGCCUUGUAUGGUCUAAGAUUUGUUAGAAUAAUAUUAGUGUUGUAUACACAGUUUCUGAUUCUAACUCUCUUCUUUACUUCAUGGGGAGUACCGCUGCAUCCUCUGGUGAGUUGGGUUUCUUUCAGCUUCUGUUAUCCUAUUCAAAAUUUGAAGCUUUAUUGGUUUUUACAUGUUCAAUUUUUGGUUGAAACAUGAGUCAUUAUGAAUGUAUAAUGUUCUUAUUGUAUCUGUUUUGGUUGUACCAAAGAUUGAAACUGAUAGUAAUUUUGAAGUUCAUGUGUUCUCUUCAUCAUCUGAGUUACUAGAAAAGCUUCAUCAAACAUGGAGUUCAGUGGAGAAACAACCAUAUCCGGCUAUGUAUUCUAGUGUCUAUGGAGGUAUCAUACUUGAUCCAGCAAUGAUGGUCAUCCCUAUAGAUGAUUACAUGAUAUCUCUAUGAGCUGGAUGUUCACAUCGUUUCUUGAGAUCGGCUUCCAAAGGAACAUUAAGAUAAUGGCUAAGUGCAGGUCCUGGUGAUUUCUUGUUGUCAUCAUCAGGAUGUCCGAAAUCUGCAUUCUAUGCAGUAGUCAUUGGCCAUGAUUUUUCUCAGUGCAAAGAAGGUGUCAAAGUGAUUACUUCCAAUGUACCAAUGAAGGCACCGUCAUUUGUGACAAUGAAAAACGUGAACUAUCUUCCCAAUGUACUUUCUGUAUUGGAAGCUGAAGAGAAAGGAUCGUUUAGUUCUAUAUGGAUUGAUGAGUUUACUUCCUGAAUCAAAUAUAUAUAAUUGGAGUUGUGGGCACUUCUCCAAACCACUUUUAACUGCUACUGAUGAUAGCGAAGAAGUAUUAGCUAAAAGAGAAGAGAGGGAAAAAUUGGCAUUGGAGCGCAUAGUGAAAUGCCAGCACUCUGGUUUGAAAUAGGGGAUGUUUUCUUCUCUAUUGUUGUCUUAAAAUAGAACUCUGAUUCCCUCAUGCAUUAAUGUUAAUGAUUUUUUAUGGUGUUGUUUCAUGUUACUCCAAUGCAUUUAUCAGUAUGCAUCGGGGGAGAUGUCAUCAAUAAUGCUGUGGGAUCUUGAUAAAGAGCAACUUAUUAAUAUUAUACCUUCAUCGUGAGAAUGCAGUGUCUCAGCGUUGAAGGCCAUUGUUGAAGUUAUGGGUGCGUAUUUGAAGGAGACGAGGAAGACGAAUAAGGCUGAUGUUUGUUCAUUGUUGUUUGUUCUUUCAUUGCAUCUCUAUUAUUCUAUUUGAAGUAUCUUUAAUGAUUGGUUUUGAUAUAGGUUUCAAAAGGUUUUGUUAAAUUCUGCAGAAUUUCUGAUUGGUUUCAAAAGGUUUUGUUAAAUUCAUUUCUGAAUUGGAUUUUUCUGAACCGUUCUUGUGCAAGCGAGUCGUGUAUGAGUUGAGUUUUAUUUGUGACCUUGUCUCGAAAUUGUUUGAGAAUUGUCCACUGAUAAAUUAUAAGAGGAUACCAACAUUGUUAGCUACUACUCUUGGCAAUUAGUGGCUAGCUCCAUUUAAUUUAACUAUGUGUAUAAAAAUGAUUUCUUAUAUUCCUUUAUUUAAAGUUGAACAUAUGAUUAAAUAUUAGUGAACCUAGAUUUUUUUUCAAAUUCGUAGCUUUCAAAAGUGCUAGGGAGAUUUUUUUCAUUAAAGAAUAUUUCUUGAUCAAAGGCCAAUUUUGGCCAUCCAUUAUAACUGCAUCAGUAUGGUCAUUAGUGACAACCCAGCCAGUCCUUAAAAGAACAAACUUGAUUUCAUUAAUUUCUAUUUGACAAACCAAUUUGAUAUCUCAAAUAAAUGAAGAGUUGUGAUACUGAUGGUAUUUAUAGAUGACCAAAAUGGGCAGCUACUCUUUUUUUUCUUUCUAUUUGAUAGAUUUGUGAAGUUUGUUUACAUAAUGAAAACAAUGAUCUGUUUUCAAUC